GAUGAACGCUGGCGGCGUGCCUAAUACAUGCAAGUCGAGCGAACAGAUGAGGAGCUUGCUCCUCUGACGUUAGCGGCGGACGGGUGAGUAACACGUGGAUAACCUACCUAUAAGACUGGGAUAACUUCGGGAAACCGGAGCUAAUACCGGAUAAUAUAUUGAACCGCAUGGUUCAAUAGUGAAAGACGGUUUUGCUGUCACUUAUAGAUGGAUCCGCGCCGCAUUAGCUAGUUGUUAAGGUAACGGCUUACCAAGGCAACGAUGCGUAGCCGACCUGAGGGGGUGAUCGGCCACACUGGAACUGAGACACGGUCCAGACUCCUACGGGAGGCAGCAGUAGGGAAUCUUCCGCAAUGGGCGAAAGCCUGACGGAGCAACGCCGCGUGAGUGAUGAAGGUCUUCGGAUCGUAAAACUCUGUUAUUAGGGAAGAACAAAUGUGUAAGUAACUAUGCACGUCUUGACGGUACCUAAUCAGAAAGCCACGGCUAACUACGUG
rnacentral:rRNA from 1 species